rnacentral:rRNA from 1 species
UGGGGAAUAUUGCACAAUGGGGGGAACCCGUGAUGCAGCGACGCCGCGUGAGGGAAGAAGGUUUUCGGAUUGUAAACCUCUGUCCUCUGUGACGAUAAUGACGGUAGCAGAGGAGGAAGCCACGGCUAACUACGUGCC